GGACCAAGGAGUCUAGCAUGUGCGCGAGUCAUUGGGACUAUAAUAAACCUAAAGGCGCAAUGAAAGUAAAAGUCCGCCUUGUGCGGACUUAGGGAGGAUGGGACCGUUCUCGGACGGACCUCGCACUCCCGGGGCGUCUCGUUCUCAUCGCGAGAAGAGGCGCACCUAGAGCGUACACGCUGGGACCCGAAAGAUGGUGAACUAUGCCUGGUCAGGACGAAGUCAGGGGAAACCCUGAUGGAGGUCCGUAGCGAUUCUGACGUGCAAAUCGAUCGUCGGAACUGGGUAUAGGGGCGAAAGACUAAUCGAACCUUCUAGUAGCUGGUUCCCUCCGAAGUUUCCCUCAGGAUAGCUGGCGCUCGCAUUGCGAGUCUCAUUCGGUAAAGCGAAUGAUUAGAGGCAUUGGGGUCGAAACGGCCUCAACCUAUUCUCAAACUUUAAAUGGGUGAGAUCUUCGGCUUGCUUAAAUAGUGAAGCCGUAAGACUUAUUCGGAUCAAUGAGUGCCAAGUGGGCCACUUUUGGUAAGCAGAACUGGCGCUGUGGGAUGAACCAAACGCAGAGUUAAAGCGCCUAAAUCGACGCUUAUGGGAUACCAUGAAAGGCGUUGGUAACUUAAGACAGCAGGACGGUGGCCAUGGAAGUCGGA
rnacentral:rRNA from 1 species